rnacentral:lncRNA from 1 species
UGGUUAGGGUUGUCACUUGGAUGGAGAGGUUGUCUCAUUGGCACUCAUACCACAUUUAGUACUGCAACUGACAUUGAAAAAGACGCUUAGUUAACGAGUUUAAUGGUCCGGAAUAACACACGGCUGCAAAUUGUUUUGAAUGAUAGAAUAAUAUCUAUAUUUUAAUUUCCGUCGGGUCGUAAAAAGUUUCUAUGGUCACAUUUUUGUAUUUUAUCCUUUUAAUGGGGGUACCCCUCAAUUUACGGUUUUGGGUAGUUACCUUAAAAUCCAAAAAUAUAUUUUUUGGUUAAAUUUCCCGCUUUUUUCGUAAAUAUUUUUCUAUGCACAUAUUAUCAAUGAUCAUCGGAAU